rnacentral:snRNA from 1 species
GGAUAUGAGGGUGACCUGGCUAUGACAUCUGUCACCCAUUGAUUGCCAAGGUUGAUUUAGCUGAUCUGCCUGGCUAGGUGGGCGUCCCCUCCUUCCUCCUCACGGUCCCACGUGUGUCCUCCAAAGCCGUGUGCUCUGUUGAAGAGGACGACCUCUGAGGAGAGGAGGACCAGUCUUCGGUCAGGGCGUAUGAGCAGCUGCGCUCCCCGGCUAGAACCCCCAAAAGCUCUCAGAGUGCGUUCUGAUCACCAAAUACCUGCGUUCUGGUUUUUAUCUAACCUCUGGCAUUUGCCUUUAAGUUGAAUAUAUAUGCCAUUUACAUUUAAUAAGAUUGUUUGUCUGAUCCAGUUU